CUACACAUCAAACACAUCAUCAUCACCAUUCGGACAUUAAUACUCUCCGAGCGGAACACACCCAAACGAAACCCAUUAAGAAUUACGCGCGCGAUGGGUUUUAGGGGAGGGCCUUUUUGGUGAAGAUUGUUUGUUUUCUUGCGGGGGAAAGUGUACAUGACGAGGAGGCUCAAAACGCCGUCGUCGAAGCAUCACUGGUCGCCACAGCAAGACUCUUCUCUUCUCACACAAUAAUCACCUGAUGUUCGUCUUCUCCUCCUCCAGCUUCAAAUACAACGACUUCGUUUCUUCUCUUGCUCUGCAACAACAACACCAGCAAUGAAGAAGAAGAAGAGAGACGUAAGCAACGGCCACAGCAGCAUCAACAUGAACAGCGUCAUCAACGUCACCCCCCUCAGCGGCGUCGUUUUCAGAACCGCCGUUCUCCGGCGACACCUCCGCCGUCUCCGCCACCACGUGUUCCCCCUCGUCUCCGCCGUCUCCGGUUGCCUCCUACUCCUCCUCGCCGCCUUCUCUCUCCUCGCUCCGUCUCCGGUUCUGCAUCACCACGAUCACCUCUCGCUCUUGCGUCACUACCAUUCCUCGGAUGACAAUGGCGUCGUUGAGGCCCGGUCGAACUCGGAUGAAACGGCCACGUUUCGUGUUCCGGAGAGUGGAGGGAGCUCAGGUCGAGAUUUAUGGAGCACAAGGAAAUCGGAUAUGUUCCACGGUUGCAGCAAUGCCGCCGAUAACUUUGCAACUGCUGAUGUGAAAACACAUUCGAAUCGCUACUUGUUGAUUGCUACUAGUGGAGGCUUAAACCAACAAAGAACAGGGAUAACUGAUGCUGUUGUUGCAGCUUAUAUCUUGAAUGCUACCCUUGUUGUUCCCAAGCUGGACCAGAAAUCAUUUUGGAAGGAUUCCAGCAACUUUGAUGAAAUCUUUGAUGUAGACUGGUUUAUAUCAUCUCUAUCAAAAGAUGUUGAAAUCAUUAAACAGCUUCCAACAAAGGGAGGAAAACCAAUGAGUCCAUAUAGCAUGCGUGUCCCAAGGAAGGGCAAAAAUGCUAACAGAAUCGUUUAGUGCCUGUUCUUAAUAAAAAUAUUGCUGUUCAGCUCACAAAGUUUGAUUACAGGCUUUCAAAUAAGUUGGAUUCAAAUUUACAAAAGCUUAGGUGUAGAGCAAAUUAUCAUGCCUUGAAGUUUACUGACCUUAUUAAUGAAAUGGGGAAAAAGUUGCUUGACAGAAUGAGGAUGAAAAGCAAGCAUUUCAUUGCCCUGCAUUUGAGGUUUGAGCCUGAUAUGCUGGCAUUUUCUGGAUGUGAUUUUGGUGGAGGAGAAAAAGAAAGGAAAGAACUUGGGAAAAUUCGGAAAAGGUGGAAAACUUUACAUGCAAGCAACCCUGACAAGGUACGAAGACAUGGCAGAUGCCCGCUAACUCCAGAGGAAGUUGGCCUUAUGCUUAGAGCACUGGGUUUUGGAAGUGAUAUUCACUUGUAUGUGGCAUCAGGUGAAGUAUAUGGAGGUGAAGAGACGUUGGCACCACUGAAGAAACUUUUCCCAAACUUCCACUCAAAAGAGACUAUAGCAAGUAAAGAGGAGUUGACACCAUUUUCAUCCUUCUCUUCUCGAAUGGCUGCACUUGACUUUAUUGUUUGUGAUGAAAGUGAUGUUUUCAUCACCAACAACAACGGCAAUAUGGCUAGAAUGUUAGCUGGUCGAAGGAGAUACUUUGGUCAUAAACCAACAAUCCGUCCAAAUGCUAAGAAACUGUCUCCGUUGUUCAUGAAUCGUAAUAACAUGACUUGGGAAGAAUUUGCCUCCAAGCUUCGAACUAGUCAAAUUGGAUUCAUGGGAGAGCCAAAUGAGAUAAAGCCUGGCAGGGGUGAGUUCCAUGAAAACCCAGCAGCCUGCAUAUGUAGAGCAUCUAGCACAAGGUCCAAUGAAGUUCCAAUUCCUCAAAAUGAAAGUUAUGACAGCCAGAACAUACAUAAGGAGGAUGACAUGAAAAAGGACAGUGGUUACGUGACAGACGAGCAAAUAACUGAGGAUGAGCAGGAUUGGUCUGAGAUUGAUUAUACGGAAAUGAAUAUGAAUCGUUCUCAGGGUAAAGUGCUGCCUAGUGUAAGAGUUUCAGAUCCAGGUCUUUUACUUAAACCUGACGAACCAGAACUUGAAGAGUUCUUUUCAGACUAGACUGAAUUAAUUAGGAGAAGACUAGACUGGAUCUCCACCUCCGCGAGUUAGCUGAUUUGUCCAAACAAAUUCAUCACCAAAAUUCUUUGCUGGUUUGUUUUGAUAGGUUACUUGUGCGCACAAGAUUGAUUUUGUUACACUGAAGGGUGGUAAUAACAAGGGCGCACAAUGUACAUAGAAGGCCUCUGUAGCAGCAGCAUCAGCAUUGGAGUAACAGAAUGGAGUCGUAAUUUAGUCAAUAUUCAGAUUUUGAAACUUGUAAAUGAAGCUACUGGAACAUCUUUUGCUCUAUUUUUUUCUCAUUUUCUCUGAUGAUUCUUGCCGUAAGGCAGGAAUGUUUAUAUGAAAUUUUUUUUUUGGUCGAAAGAAU